UCUCUCUCUCUCUCUCUCUCUCUCUCUCUUCUUUUCUUUUUUCUUUUCCUUUCUUCUCCACAGACCUCACCUCCCACCAAACCCUCCCUCCUCCACAGCACGCCCACCUCCCACCUCGCCCACUCGCCCCUUCGCCGCAGUUUUCGCCCGCCCGCUUGCUCUCUCACUUUCUCUCUUUCUUCUUUUCUUUUUCUUUUUCCUUUCUUCUCCACAGAGCUUACCACCAAAUCCUCCCUCCUCCACACCCCGCCCACCUCCCAUCUCGCCCACCUCGCCAACUCGCCCCCUCGCCUGCUCGCUCGCUUGCUGGCUCGCUCGCCCCCUCGCCUACUUCUUAGGACACAAGUUCGAAGCACUUGCCUAAUUCCUCGUCGCAGUUUUCUUCCACACUUUCAUCCCUAGGGGGCUUCCCAAGAUCAGUUUGUUUCUCAUUUUCCGAAUGCAUGGAAUUAUUGCCAUUCAAACCGGUUUCGACUUGCUUAGCUUCUCCGUUUGAAUUGGUUUAUAGGGCGGCAGCUUCUUGGUCAGACAUAGCAGAACUGCCUGAUUCUGCCCCUUUGGUGGAGAUUGAGCAUAAUGUCAUCCUUGUUCCAUGAUCCUUGUUUAAUAUAAAUGUGGUUUCGUAUAAAAUAGUAAUUAAAUUACUGCUUCUUAGUUUACAGAUAGAAGAAUUUUUAAGAUAAAGUUGUAUUUGGUUGUACUGUUUGUCUUCGUCGCAAUGAUGUAUGUGAAGAUUUUAAUGUAACUAAAGGCUAUUUGAACUAUGUUUGUAACCACUAUUUUUAAUUAAUGAAUUUAUAUCUUUAA